rfam:Perkinsus marinus ATCC 50983 gcontig_1104296585932, whole genome shotgun sequence.
GACAGCGUGUUCGAGUGGUUAAGGAGAUGGGACUUGAAUCCAUUGGGGCUCUGCCUGCGCAGGUUCGAAAUCCUGCCGCUGUCG